UGGGGAAUCUUAGACAAUGGGCGCAAGCCUGAUCUAGCCAUGCCGCGUGAGUGAUGAAGGCCCUAGGGUCGUAAAGCUCUUUCGCCAGGGAUGAUAAUGACAGUACCUGGUAAAGAAACCCCGGCUAACUCCGUGCCAGCAGCCGCGGUAAUACGGAGGGGGUUAGCGUUGUUCGGAAUUACUGGGCGUAAAGCGUACGUAGGCGGAUCAGAAAGUUGGGGGUGAAAUCCCGGGGCUCAACCCCGGAACUGCCUCCAAAACUCCUGGUCUUGAGUUCGAGAGAGGUGAGUGGAAUUCCAAGUGUAGAGGUGAAAUUCGUAGAUAUUUGGAGGAACACCAGUGGCGAAGGCGGCUCACUGGCUCGAUACUGACGCUGAGGUACGAAAGUGUGGGGAGCAAACAGGAUUAGAUACCCUGGUAGUCCACACCGUAAACGAUGAAUGCCAGUCGUCGGGCAGUAUACUGUUCGGUGACACACCUAACGGAUUAAGCAUUCCGCCUGGGGAGUACGGUCGCAA
rnacentral:rRNA from 1 species